ACCAAACUAUAAAUUUCAAACAAAUUACAUGAAAAAUCAAAAACCACUUAUUCAAAGAUACCAAAAACCAAAAGCCAAAAGCAAGAAAACAUUAUAGACCCACCACCCACUCUUAAUAAUAGAUAUCAAAGCAAGCCAACCCAUAAACCCAUUUCGCUUUUGCUUUUGUAAACUAUAAUGUUUAAUCACACUCCUUCACCUUUUCUUUUUCCUUUUCUUCUUCACUCUUUGAGUGAUACCCGGGGAUUUUCUCUUUUAUUUUCUCAAAAAUACCCUUCUUCUCCUUCUGUUCACCUUCAUCGGCGUGUGUCACCACCGCCGGCGGUGGUGGUGGUGGAGUAGCAGCAAGCUCCUCCUCCUUCUUAUGGCCGCCGGGAAGUUUCUCCUUGAUCUUUUCCAUGAAACCCUUCUUCUCCUCCGGCUCAGGUGGUCCAUGCUGGAGUGGAGCUACAUCGUAUUUCUCAAUCGGUACAGUAGUUUCAUCUUCUUGUUUCGUGAGCUUCUCCUUGAUCUUCUCCUUCAAUGGCUUCUUCUUCUUCUUCUUCUCUCCAUUUUCAUCGCACUCUUCGUCACUCGACUGUUAACAAAUAUCACCAAAGGAAACAUACUUUUAGUAUGGAAAUAAACAUAUCGUAAUGAAUCAGAGAUCAUGUCAUUAAGUAAACGAUUUGAUUCAAAGGUUAGAAAUGGAGACAGAAAACUUACGCUACUGGAACUGCUAUCGGAUCUGUGAAGUUUCUCGAGCAAGCUUUCUUUCUUCUCCUCCG
rnacentral:lncRNA from 1 species